rnacentral:rRNA from 1 species
GUAAUGGGGGCGAAGCCUGAUGCAGCGACGCCGCGUGAGUGAUGAAGGCCUUCGGGUUGUAAAGCUCUUUCGGUGGGGAAGAAAAUCCUCGUGCUAAUACCUCAGGGUCUUGACGUAUCCCAUACAAGAACCACCGGCUAACUCUGUGCCAGCAGCCGCGGUAAUACAAAGGGUGCGAGCGUUAAUCGAAAUUACUGGGCGUAUCGCGC